UCCUUUAAAUAGUUUGUUUGUAAUUGCUGGUAGUUGAUUACACAUACGAGGGGAAUGGGUUAUAUUAAACCUCGUAUAUUUUUUAACAACCAAAAGCGGGGACCUAAUAUUUUGCAUAUUAUCGUUACUCGUAUAGUUCUGGAUACCCCAAAGUUUGGUCCAAAUCGGCGUCGGACAGUUCCUUUCCUUCUCUUGUUAGUGCAUAGGCUGUAUUUCGAAUCUAAUGUUGUUUUAUUUAAUAAUCAUCUCUUAUCCUAGGAAAGUAAAAUUUUCAAAUUUUUGAAAUAUAGAAUUUCCUAGCUGUAGUUAUUAUUUGAAUGAAUAUGGUGAAGAAAGUUCGAAAUUUUUUCUGUGUUUAAUUCGAUACUUAUAUCAUUCAGGACUAUGAAAAGAAGAAUAUUAUACUUUUCAUAGAAGAAUAUUCUCUAUUAUUCUAUGAAAAGAAUAUUCUCUAUUUCUUUAAUAGAAGAAUAUUCUUCUAUUAGAGAAGAAUAGAAAAAAAUUAUCAAUUUAAAAAAAAAAAAAGCAUAUAAUGCAAAUCAAGAGGCACGGCAGUGACGCUAAGCCAAGUACAGUACUGACUGACUGACACUAUUAUUACCGGAGUCAUUAUAACCAAAUUUCAACUCGCUGUAACUUUGGUCCUAAUUUAAAUACUAUUAAUC
rnacentral:lncRNA from 1 species